rnacentral:lncRNA from 1 species
UUUUACCCACAGUCCGUUCUGGUGUGAGGAGGCUAAGGUGUAGCCUGGAAAAGUUUCUUCCAGUCGCCUCCCUGGGGUUAUCCAUUUGUGAAUGGUUCUGAACAGCUGUAGAAUCGGUGAGCCUGGCAAAUACAAUCAAAGGGCGGCCUGGGGCCCAGAAAGACCCUAACACCAAGAAUGUGUUUGAGGCUUUUAGUGCUCAAGUUUUCUUUGUCAUUUCCUGAAAAUGGUGGAGGAAGUUGCCCAUCAAACCCUGUGGAGUCUUCAGAUAGAGCUAUUUUACCUCUGCAGAGGUCGGGGUGAGGGAGGUGCCUUCUGAGUCUGGCCUGCCGUUGCUUAAAAGGGUUAUAUUUGAGGUUAAAACCUGUGCAUCUGACAUUUCAUCUUAGUUCUAUUAAUAUGAAAGAAGUACCAAAAAACCUUUCCUUUUGAGUCUCCAAGGAAAGUCUGGCUUCAUUUAAUACUGUGAUUUAAAAAAAUAAAAAACACAUCUUGCUAUUUCUGCUUUAUUGACAGUCUCUCCAAUUUGAUUCAAUACCAUAUCUAUUUAAGGCUGCCAAGUGCUGAUCUUACAGGACAUGCAGAAUGUAAGAACUUUUAGUGGUCCAGAGGCUUCUGACCUUGCCCUAGGUUCAUUAAUAUGUGUGACCUAGGUCAGGGCUGGCCUCUGGGGUAUGCACAGAGAAGAGACCCCAGUCUUGGAGUUUAAUGCUCUCCAGUUACUGUUUGAAAUUCUUAAUAAUUUUAUCUUUGACCCUGUUUUGUAAGUGAAAUCUGAUGAGACAGUAGAGCAUGCACUGGGGUCUGGGAGCCUUGUUCACAGACUGUGCAGUCUGCCUCUCCUGGACAGGUUGUCAGCCCACUUCCCUGUUCCUCUACAGUGAGAGCUGAUACCCUUCAUUCCCCGCAGAAGCCUGGGCACAUGUCUGGGUCUCCAUUCAGCCUGAAAAUAUCAAUAUGUCCAAGGGUAUACAACAUUAAGCAGUAAAUAAAAAACACUACAACAGGUGGAGAAAAUGACCAUGGAAGAAGAGAAAAUAUUUUUUUCUCAGUUUUUUGAACAGGGAACCCUACAUUUUUAUUUGCACAGGGCCUUGCAUAGCUGGUUCCAACCCAAGGCCAUUCUACCAGCAAUAAAUAAAUUUUCUGUGCCCCUUGAUAUUUGCUACAAACUAUAGCCUUGGUUGUUGUCUGUACUCUGAGGGAAUGUGCUUUGUGUCUGCCAGUCUUGACAGUUCCUUCUACCUGCCCUGACCCAGUUCAGCCAAAGACUACCUGCUUUAUGCUAUAGUCUUACUUGACAGAGAAUCACAGUCCGCUGUUGUUCCUCCCCUCCCAGGAAUUUAUAGUGCAUGUGAGAAGAAGAAACACAAAUUUAUCUCUGGGAAUUAGAGGAAAAUAGGAUAAUAAAGUUUAAAUUAAGUCAUCACCUUAAUGAAAAAAAUGAUGUCUUAGAAUAAAAGCAGCUGAGUUGAAGCCAGGAGGGGUAAUACACAUGGGGACACUUGGUGUCUCUAAUCCUCAAUUUCCUAACCUGAAGAAAAUGAGAAUGAAGACAAGACUGUAUUAUAGGACUUGAAGAUAAAAUACUUCCAUGCAUGUGAAACUGUUAUGGAAUUCUUAGCAUCCUAUGAUUACAGAAAAGAAUGUGCCAACUGUUCUUAUGUACAUAGCAUAAGAGUGACAUAUUCAGUAGAGGAAGGCAGUAGAGUUGCCCGUGAAGUGUUGAAAUUUGGUUAGGUACUACCCAGAGAUUCAUUUUUUUUUUCUCUUUCAUGGUUGGGUGUCAACCUUUUCCCACAUUUUCCUCCAUAAAAGUCUUUCCUUCAGGUUUUCCAAACCAUAACAAUUGGGGCAGGUUCUGACACCCUCAAAUGAGAGAGGGUGUGCACUUUCAGCUGUGUACUUUCUACACUCUCUGAAUCCCCAGGAAGAUGCAGGGAUCUCUCCCUAUCAAAACAGUCAUAAGGCUCAGUCAUAGGAAACUGCACCUUGGGGCACCUGCAGACACUGAUCGAGGAAUUUUGGGAGUCAGUUGAAAUAGGGGAGUGGUAUUGAUUUGCUUCUAAACAAGCUUCUUGAGUGUGAAAGAUGCUUAAAUGAUUUAUCAGCAAAUGAAUUGGGUCCUUGCAGUGGGCAGGAUUUGCCCAGUGCAUUAAUAUCCUUCAGUGACAAAGAUAGACAUCUCUUCAAUUCAGGCAGCGGUCCUUCAUGCUGCAAGUCAUUAAACUCAGCAAACACAGAGCUAGGACAGGGACCAAGUCCUCCUGGCUUACAAGUAUUCAAUAAAUCCAACAAAUUUUACUGAUCACCACCUGUGUUAAUUCUGAGGAUACACUGGAAAGCUUGGCAGGGUUUGUCCCUGCCAUCAUGGAGCUCUCACUGAGGAAGAUAUUUACAUUACUUAAGAAAUUAGACAUAUAAAUUAAACUUGCAUUGAGAGCAGAAAGCUUUGUCUGGGAGGUCAGGUGAUUUUGAGGAGUGACAUGUGAGCCAGGAUCUGGAGGAUGAGCACCGGUUAACUAGGAGGUGACUGGGGAAGGGGAGAGAAAAGUGGAUCAGGUAGAAGUUCCUGUGGCAGAAGGGAGUAUGACAAAUGCGAGAGGCAUAAAGCAGAGUGCUGUGGUUGGUGGUCUAGAAGUGAAGAGAGGUAAAGUUUGGGGUGAGAUGAGGCUAGAGAGAAAAACCAGUGGCUAGGUUAAUCAGCAUCCUGUGAAUCAUGUUAAUUUUUAUUUUGCGGUGGGGAAAUGGGGAUCACAUAUUAGAGUCACUUUUUUAAAAAAAUCUUUUGUUUUAACAUGAACCUGGACAUGGUCAAUAUGGAAUUCCUUUGAGACACCACGUGGAGAUGUCAGUGGGCACCUGUGUUAAGGGAGUCCACAGUUAGAGGGGAGGCAGUUGAGUCACGUGCAUUUGGAUGGCAGCUGAAGGCAGGGAGUGCAAAGCAUGAGAAAAGAGGGACACCUAGGGCUGAUCAUCACCAUCAUUAAUGACUGAAUUUAGAGGAAGACAAAUCUGAAAUGGAUUCUGAUGAAUAGUGCCAAGAGAAAAAAAUAUAUAAAGGAAAGACAAUGCAGUAUGAGUCAUGGAAACUGUGGAACAGAAUGCUCUAAGAAAUAGAGUUGGUCAUAUUGGAAUAUUCUUUUAGUGGGUCAAGUUGGAGGACGACUAAAAGAUAUCCCUUGGUUUAGUGAUGGGAGGUCACUGAUAUCUUUGGGGAGAGAGUUACGGUGGACUGCUAGAGUGGUAACAUGGGUGGUCUGCGAAGUGAUGAAGAGGUGUGCAAGGAAAAAGUUCUUUUAAAUUUUGGCUGUGAAGAUGUGAGAUGGGGCGGUGGGAAUAGCUUGACGAAUUUCCCACUACAACAAGCAUCCUCACUUCUGACUCUGAGAUUAUAGAUCUCCACUUCUGUAUUCCCUGCUUUACAAAAACACACAGGGUUUGACUUGUUGUUAAAGACAUCCUGAGGUUGGGCUCAGGGUACCAUCGGCGGUUCUAAAAAGCCAGUGAAAUCCCACAUAAACCAUCUCAUGAAGUAAGCCCACCAUAUCCUAUGUGCCACAGUCAGGUUGCUGUUGGAAGGGUUUCAAAGAGAGACAGAUAAAAUUCCAUAACCCAUAUAAGGCUUUAUUUUUAUAAACAAAAGUAGAGCAUUGGGAAAUAUCUUAAUAUGAAUAAUUGAUGUUUUUGUUAAUACAGCUGCAUUUGAAAGUAGUAGAUUCCCUCCCUUGUAUGGGAAGUGAUGAGACCAGUUCUCCCAAUAGCCUGCUUAAUAACUAAACAUAUUCAUUUCUUAGCAUUAACUCACUGAUCCUGACACUACUGUCUAAAAUAUAGUCUUAUUUAUGGUUCUUCCAAACCCUUAUUCCCUAAGGCUUCUUUUAUUUUUAUUGAGUGAGCUUGAUGUCAGUGAAAUGUAGUCUUCUGUUCCUUUCUGGAAGCAGUAAUUUAGCAUCUAAUGAAGUUCACAGUUGCUGAUCAGUGUAGAAGAUCAGCAGCUGGUGCUGGAGAUACAGAUGGGAUCCUCUGGUCAGGCUGAGAAAAUACUUUUCAGUGUGUCCUCAGUAGGGAAAUAAAAGUAGAGCCUUUUCAAGGAAAAAUGUUUAUGGAUGUUGAAUAUGCUGCAGAGGGACACUUGUUAUGGUAGUAGAGUUAAUUUAAUAAAUAAUCUUAAAUUGACUAAACCACUUUAUUUAUCAAUCCCUACACAAUUAUGACGUUGUAUACCACACUAUGGGUUUUGCAAGGUUAUUUCAUUAAUCGCUGCGACAGCUCUGUGAAUUGAGCAAAUUGUUUAGCUUCCCUUCCCUUCAGUUUAUAAACUAGCAACGUGGAAAUAAUGAUGAUGACUAAGGUCAUAAAGCCAGUUUAAAGUGGGAAAAACGAAUUUUGAAACUAAGUUCAGACUUCUACUUUCCCUUAAGAUAGGUCAGCCAGAAGGUACUUACUCUCUGACCUGAAAUGACCAAACAUACCAGGUGAUGUAGGUAAAACAAUGGAUUUCAAGAGACUGGUGUAGUUCCUGUCAUGGCUCAGUGGUUAAUGAAUCCGACUAGGAACCAUGAGGUUGCAGGAUCGAUCCCUGGCCUCGCUCAGUGGGUUAAGGAUCCGGCGAUGCCAUGAGCUGUGGUGUAGUUCACAGAUGCGGCUCGGAUCCUACGUUGCUGUGGCUCUGGCGUAGGCUGGCGGCUACAGCUCCGAUUUGACCCCUAGCCUGGGAACCUCCAUAUGCCACAGGAGCGGCCCAAGAA